rnacentral:misc_RNA from 1 species
GUGAAUCAUCGAAUUUUUGAACGCAAAUUGCACUCUCUGGUAUUCCGGAGAGUAUGCCUGUUUGAGGGUCAAUUUAAAUAAAAAUCGGUGUAGUUGCUGCCUUUCGUGGUUACUCACCGGAUUUGAGUCGUCUUGCCUUCGUCUACGUGACCUAAAAUUUUGCAUGAUUUUUUCGAUCGUAUUUAAAUGAUUUUACGUACGUUUUCGAUAGCUAAUACUAGUAGUGGUCAUCCUCAUGAUUCACGCUUAUAAUUCUUCAUCAAAAUUA